rnacentral:rRNA from 1 species
ACGCUCGACACCUACGGGUGGCAGCAGUUGGGAAUAUUGGACAAUGGAGGGAACUCUGAUCCAGUGACGCCGCGUGAAGGAAGAAGGUCUUCGGAUUGUAAACUUAUUUUAUCAGGGAAGAAAGAAAUGACAGUACCUGAACGAAGAAGGACCGGCUAACUACGUGCCAACAGCCGCGGUAAUCUGAGCGGGCUGGCAAGGC